GACGAACGCUGGCGGCGUGCUUAACACAUGCAAGUCGAACGAAGAGCGACGGAAGCUUGCUUCUAUCAAUCUUAGUGGCGAACGGGUGAGUAACGCGUAAUCAACCUGCCCUUCAGAGGGGGACAACAGUUGGAAACGACUGCUAAUACCGCAUACGAUCUAAUCUCGGCAUCGAGGAUGGAUGAAAGGUGGCCUCUACAUGUAAGCUAUCACUGAAGGAGGGGAUUGCGUCUGAUUAGCUAGUUGGAGGGGUAACGGCCCACCAAGGCGAUGAUCAGUAGCCGGUCUGAGAGGAUGAACGGCCACAUUGGGACUGAGACACGGCCCAGACUCCUACGGGAGGCAGCAGUGGGGAAUCUUCCGCAAUAGACGAAAGUCUGACGGAGCAACGCCGCGUGAGUGAUGACGGCCUUCGGGUUGUAAAGCUCUGUUAAUCGGGACGAAAGGCCUUCUUGCGAAUAGUGAGAAGGAUUGACGGUACCGGAAGAGAAAGCCACGGCUAACUACGUG
rnacentral:rRNA from 1 species